AGUUUGUAGAUCCAACGUGAGGGGCACAGGGAGUGGACAAUGAUCCUGUACAAUGCCUCCCCCCCCUGUCCAUUACUAGCGAGUGGGCAGCAUUAGCUGCAUGAGAUACUACUCUUUUAUUACAGUUUACUCUUUAGCAAAUAUGACUCCCCUCAAAGCAUGAAGAGUGAGGACAUGAGGCGGGUGUAUAACCUACCUUGUACUAAUGUUUCAGUCAAAUUAACACCAUAGGAUUUUUAAUUUGUUUUGAAAAUCUUUAUUUUGCAUUUUUAUAAUUGUUACAUUAUAUUGUUAAUUGUUGGUAUUUUGCCACUCGCAGGUGGUAUAUCUUAUGAUUAUGGGUAAAGAGGUAAGACAAGGUUGCACAAUAAGCAGGCAUUAGACAUACGUUUGCAUGAGUACAAAUUAUUUUGGCUGUAUUGAAGUGAACAGCUCACCGUGUUUACCAUGGCCAGUGUUAUGUAGCCAUGGGCAUUUCUUCACUUAUGUAUAAUUAGUGAUAGAGAACUUUCUUAUAUAUGCAUUGGUAGGUGUCAUACCCUUUUAGGUGCUCUGGGUUGUAUUUUCUAUGUUAUCGGCUGUGAAUUGUGGUAUUCAAUACUGGCUGUGUGUCGUGUGUGUCUGAAGGUAGUAAGGUUUGUCAUCUGGGUGUCUCACAGGACACUUGGCAUGUGGGGGUGGAGAGGAAUGGGACUAAGUGUGAUUUCCUUGUCUAAGUUUACCCUGUGUUGGGGACCGUGCCUCAGAGCUCGUGUUUAACUCUGCUUGGUUGCCUUGUAUUUUUGGGAAGGAGAGAGGGUUGAAAAGUUGGGGGUAGAUGGCCAUGCUGGUGGAAGGGAAAGGUAGGGGGUAGGGAAAUCCACACUCCGCACGCUCAGGAUCCUGCCACCUUCCACCCCGUUGCAGCCCCGGUAGCAGUGGGUGAAUCCUUUGUCUGAUUGUCAUGCAUGUCACCCGCUGUGGUUCCUCCUGGAGGUGAAGUCACUCCAGGGUAACCAUGUCAGGGCACAUUUGGCCGAGCUUCCACUAAGGUCUGUUGCCAUCAAUUCCAUUUUAUAAAUUUCCUCCACUCUAGUCACCCAUUGUCUGAAGGUUGGUGCACCCCUCUGUUCCCAGAGUAUUGGAAUGAGGGUCUUUGCUGCUGUCAGCAGCUGUAUGGUAAGGGAUUAUGUGUAGGAUUUCAAGGGCCUAGUUGGGUGGUGCAGAAGCAUAGGGAGUGGUUGUAGGGGAAGGUUAAUGCUAUGUCAUUGAUUUUUCCAUGGACCAUUUUCUUGCAAGGGGCAAUUUCGGUGCAUGUCCACCAAAUGUGGAGGGUUGUGCCCACUCCAAAUCACAUCGCCAGCAAACAUCAGGUAUUUCGGGUUUCAUACAGUGUUAGACUUCAGGAGUCCUGUAUCAGCAAGAUUGUAGCUUGUAACUCAAUUCCUGGUAUCUAGAUCUUAUGGAGCAUUUAUCCCAUUCCUUAGUUGUGAGCUUCUCACCCACUUCCCUUUUCCAGUAUGUGAUGAAUGUAGGCGGAAGUCUGUCCUCUCCCAUUAGCAGCAUUUUGUAAAGCAGGGAGAGUCCUCUGGGGAUGUGUGUCCAAGAGAUGCAGGGCAUUUCAAAUUGUGUGAGAUCCCUGUGAAGUUGGGUUUUGCCCUUGUGUCUCGUGUAACGGAAGUGCUCAAGUCCCGAGGGUGUUUUCUCAGGUAGUAGGUCGACCAGAGGUUUUAAGUAGUGCGGUAGUACACCACUGCUUCAUCUAGACCCAGUCUAAUUGUUAAAACAUGUGGAGGUGUGGGUGUUUCAAACCUCCUGCUAGGUUCGGAUUGUGGGUGAGGGGAGUCAACGGGGAUGGGGAGGUGGUCAAACAUUGUGAGAAGCGGAUGGAGCAUCAGACCUGGUGAGUGGCGUCUAUCAGUGGAUUCCCUGUGCGCAGUGCACUGUAUGUGGAUCUCUGUGCCACAAUAUGGUGGGGAUUUUCCCUGCGGACUGUACCUUUUCCAUGUGUACCCAAUGUUUUGUAAUUGGUUGUGCAUGCCGAGCUGUUGCAGGUGUGUAGCUCUAUAGUAAUUAAUUACAGAAGGAAGACCAGUACAUCCUUGUGUUUUGGGGAGUUCAAGUAGUGUCCUCCGUAUGCGGACCGUAUUCUUCUUACAUACGAGCUAUCGUGUGGCCAAAGCAAUAGAUUGGAAGAAUGCUCUCGGGAUGUUUGUGGGGACAGUCUGGAACAGAUGUAGGAGACGUGGAAGGAUGUUCAUUUUUAUUGCAUUGAUGCGGCCGAACCAAGUGAUGUACAGGUUGGUCCACUUUUUCAUGUCGGUUUGUAGUGAGGCGAGGAUUGGGAGGAAGUUUAGUCGGUAGAGCUGUGUGAGGUUUGUAGGUAAGUAGAGGCCUAGGUACUUGAGUUCCGUGUCUCGCCAUGCGAAGUGAAACUUUGCUUGUAGGUGGGCUUCCAGGUCUCGGGUUAGUGUGAUAUUUAACGCUUCUGAUUUGUCCAUGUUCAGCUUGAGGUUGGAGAUUGCCCCGUAUGAAUGGAAGAUGCGUAGAAGGUUAGGGAGGGACACAGUUGGUCUUUCAAUGAAGAAAAGCAUGUCAUCAGCGUAUGCCACAAGGCGGUGCCCACGGUAGCUGAGGUGCAGCCCACUUAGACCCCUAUCCUGUCUGACCACCUGCAAAAGUGGUUCCAGAGAGAGGGCAAACAGGAGGGGAGACAGAGGUAAGGGUGCCAUUUCUGAUGGGGAGUGGGGGGAUAGGGCCCCGUUGAUCCGAAUGAUGGGGUCGUGUAGAGUAAUGACACCCAUGCUCGCAUUGCUGUCAGGGAGUCAUUGGGGAAUUCACCCCCAUGGAGGAUGGUGUUCAGGGCGUCGGUAGUUUAGGUUUAGGUAGAAGGAUGUGAAUUUGUGAUAGUAGUUGGCCGUACGUCCAUCCGGGCCUGGUGCCUUGUUGGCUUUAGAGAGAUUCAGAGCUGCUGUUUAAAUCCUCUAUUGUAAGCGGCUGUUCCAGCUCCUCGCUCAUUUCUAGUGUCAGUUGUCGCGCCACAUUCGGGGAGAGGAACUCUUCGACUCCACGCCGGUGUCACUGCGGGCUAGAGCCCUGUUCUGCAUUGGUGAUGUUUUAUAGUUCCGUGUGAUAGGUGUGGAAGGCCUGUAGGAUGUUGGCUGGUCCCUGUAUUUUAUUUAUCUUGUGUAUGUGGUGUAGUUUUCAUUGUCUCUGUAGGUGUCCGGCUAAGAGUCUCCCGCAUUUGUUCGAGUAUUCGAAGAAAAAUCUCUUCCAUUUGCAGGGUGUGUGCAGGAGAUUUUGGGAGAGUAGGUCCCUGAGCCCUCAACGAGCUUUGGUAAAUCGUAAGUAGGUGUAACGGAUCACCUGGCACCCCGACUGGGUACCUCCGUUAAAGGAUACUCCUAGCAUUUCCUGAGGACUCCAAGCAGACACCACAAUCACCGAACCGAACCGGAAAAGCACAUACCUUCUCUCAAGCAUAUGAAUGCUAUAAACAGCUGAAUAGGCAAAAACCCAUGCGGAUGGGUUUAGACUCCUAGCAGUCAAACUGGAACAGCAUACAAUAAAUCCUUCCCCAAUAAUGAGACGACACUUCACUUUGAGGGUUAAGCAGGAACUCCAGAUUUAUUCACACAACCUCCUUUUAAGACAUUCUCCCAUGUAAGGGAGGGAUCCACAACAAUUAGUACCCCAGCCAAUAAUGUACCAGUUACCUCCCACACAUCUCCUCCCCUUAGUGUGACACAUAAUCCCAUUAGUACAGACACAAAUUCCCUGGGUUACUGGAUGUACCCCUAAACAUAGGGUUACCCCUUUAAAUGUUACAUCCCCUGGUAGCCCUGAUCUGGGUGAGACACAUAUCCAAAAAUCACCCAGAUCGGACCAGGGGUUCGGGAAUUAUGGAGGGUUAAAGUUUUGACCGACUGCAUGGCAAAAGUAUCCGAAAAUAGUUCCAUGUACUUUGGCCCUGCAGUCGGUCACAGAAAAGGGAAUGAAAACACACAAAUUGCCUGGGUUAUAGAGCCUGGGGAGGGUUUAAACGAAUUCCCUUGUUCGUGGGGUUCUUUCUACCGAACGGCGGGUCAUUCGGUAGUUUCCACACGAAUUCAUGGAAGUCUGGAGGUCUCAGCGGUGUUUGCCUAGUUGAGUGUCCGAUUUUAGUUUCAGACACUCGACGGCAAAACACCGCUGUUCGGGAGUUUAGGAUGGCCGCCACCACGUGUUUGUUUUCCGAAUGGCGGCCACCCAGAGGACAAAACCACACAUUACUUCGAUUGCCAAUUACCCGUUUGCAACAUUGUUGCAAACGGUAAUUGGAGGCACACUUCUUCCUGGGUGGUCUGGUUGUUCGGUAGUUUCACUCAGUAUAAUGAAUGGAGUGAUUCUACCGAACAAUCAGGGGAAUGCUGCAUACCCAUAUACAAUUUAGCCGAACACACAGAAACAUACAUAAUAUAAAAGACAUCCUUACUGUAAUCUGCUACCAAGUCUUAAAGGGGUAUUGUUCCUAAAAGUCAUAAUAUGUCCCCGGAUGGCUCUUAAAGGGCCAGUAGCAGCAAUAUAAAAUAUCACAUGCCCAAAUAUUGCAUUAAAAUUUACCAGGGGCCAUAGUCAGCAGGUAGGAGGCGGCAGCCAGGCCUCUCCAAUGUCCAGUGGUGAGGCGGGUUCCGCCACAGUAGGUGUCUUCCGUCAGAGUGCAUUUUUUGGUGGACUCUAGUUCUUUAUUUUUUCGUAUCAGCGCUGCUGUACACUCAAUCCUUUCCUUUUUGCGCCAGGUACCAAUUGCUAUGUAAUGGCCUCGGAUCACACAUUUGUGUGCUUCCCAUAUUGUCAGUGCAGUCAUCUCCAGUGUUUCAUUUAUGUCGAAGUAUUGCGUAAGCAUUUGUGUCAUUUUUGUUUAUGCCUUCCAGAUUGAUCAGAAUAUUUUGGUUCAGUUUCCAUUGGAGUUUGCGAGGUUUAAACAGAGGCAAUUUAACUGGUGUCGUGACCGGGGCAGGGUCUGAUACACCAAUAGAUCCGAUCUCAGAGGAGAUCAGUAGCGCAAGAUAUUCAUGCGCCAUGAAGAGGUAGUCAAUGUUUUGUGUAGGAAAAGAUGUUGUUCCCGAUUGGGGAAGUAUAUGGAUGCGAGGGUGUAGGUGUGUUCCGCUGUAGUUCCUUUAACAAGAGGUACCUACCCAUGGGGUUCCUCUUUACCGCUUUGCACUGAAAUGGGAUUGUGUGUGCAAAUAGUAUGGCUACUCCUGCUCGUUUUGCCGUGGGAUAGUGGCAAAGUAUACCAAAGGGUAUUUCCUGUCCCCUAGUGUUGGGGCACCAGUCUCCUGGAAAUGCGUUUCUUGCAAUAAUGCGAUAGAAACUCUAUGGGACCAGAGUGUUCGGAGUGUUUGUGCGCGUUUUUGUGGGAUAUUAAGGCUUCUGACAUUGUUGGAUCAGAACUUCAGGGAUACAGGGAAGAAGGGUGCAGACAUGGCGGGCAGAGUGCUGGGGGUUCAGGGGGUGUUGGCAGGAGUUGAGAUCAGAGGAAGAG